rnacentral:rRNA from 1 species
AUUGAACGCUGGCGGCAGGCCUAACACAUGCAAGUCGAGCGAGCGGCGGACGGGUGAGUAAUGUAUGGGGACUGCCCGAUAGAGGGGGAUAACUACUGGAAACGGUGGCUAAUACCGCAUACUAUCGGAUAACCCAUAUGGGAUUAGCUAGUGGGUGAGGUAAUGGCUCACCAAUGCGACGAUCCCUAGCUGGUCUGAGAGGAUGAUCGGCCACACUGGGACUGAGACACGGCCCAGACUCCUACGGAGGCAGGAGUGGGGAAUAUUGCAGAAUGGGCGCAAGCCUGAACCAGCAACUCGGCGUGAAGGAAGAUGUUCGUCGGAUUGUAAACUUCUUUAGACAGGGACGCGGUACCUGUAGAAUAAGCCACGGCUAACUACGUGCCAGCAGCCGCGGUAAUAC